GAAUAAAGGAGAAAUUAGUGCAAUUACUCAAAAUCAGCACAGAAGCUCACCUGCUGCUCCCAUCCUUCCCUGUGGACCUUUUCAACCAGCACUGCCUUAGAUGGGCCAAACGGAUACUGAAACAUCCAACUGACACUCCACAAGCACUUUUUGAGCCACUACCUUUUGGCAGAAGCUUCAGGCCAUUAAAAACAAACACUAACAGACUCAGGAACAUUUUUCAUCCAAAUGCCAAAUCAUGCCAAAUGCCAAAUGGCACAUAAUACUGCGCGCGUAUGUGUCCUGUGGCUUUAGUCCAAUAACUGCUCUGUGCAAUAAUCAUCUGCAGUAUCUGUAGUUAUUUUAUUUCUUGUAACUUAUUAGAAUUUUUUAAAUUAUUUUUAAAUAUUUUUACAUUGUUUUUACAUUUUAACUGUGUGAUGUUCCUAUCUAUAAGUGUGUGUCUCUAUAUGUAAGUAUUUCAUUUGUUGUACGUGGUCAAUGAAUGACAAAGAUAUUCUUUUCUAUCCUAAUUGACAAGUCACCGUCUCUUGAGUGAAUAUAUUUGCAUUGCCAAUACAGUCGAGGUAAAAAGUAUUUAGUCAACCACCAAUUGUCCAGGUUCUCCCACUUAAAAAGAUGUCUGAGGUAGAGCUCACCUAUGAGCGGCAAAAUGAGGAAAAAAAAAAUCUAAUACAAUUGUACCUCUACCUACGAAAUUAAUUCGUUCCGGAAUUUGUUUUGUAACAUGAUUUUGUAAAUAGAAGCGUUUUUUUGUUUUUUUUAAUGUAAAUGGCAUCCAGGAACUGAGUGUUUGGACUUUGACUAUUUUGGGAAAAGCUCAGGAGUUGGUUGACAUGAUUCGAAGAAAGGUUGAUGUAUUGUGCAUCCAUGAGAGCAGGUGGAAAGGUAGCAAGGCUAGAAAGUUUAGGAGCAGGGUUUACAUUAUUUUACCAUGGAGUAGAUGGGAAGAGAAAUGGAGUAGGUGUUGUUUUAAAAGAAGAGCUGGCUCAGAAUGUCUUGGAGGUGAAAGGAGUAUCAGAUCGCGUAAUAUGGGUGAAAUUUGAAAUUGAGAGUUUUAGUUGCAUAAUAAAAUGCAUCAAAUAUUUGUUACCACAUAUAAAUACAGUCAUGACAAUUGAAAUUUCAAAAUAAGGCAAGUCCAUCAUGUAAGACAAGCUACUAUUAUAAAGCCUACAUCUUGAAAAAUCGGAAACCAGCUGUCAGUGUGUUGAAGAGGGCACUACGUUCACAAACCAAUCAAUAUCAACCAAAUGGCCAAACAGACCAAGGAGAGGUCAUCUGACCAAAUCCGGAUUUGAACCAUUAUUCCACAGUUUUCAAGAUGCGGGUUGUGAAAGCCACUCAAUCAACUGGCUUUCAUCCAUUCCAUCUAGAGCACCACCAUGAUCAACAAAAAUAAGCAGCUGGCGUGUUUUUUUUCAAGUUGGAGUAAUAAAGUUUGCAGAGGUACCCACAAUAACAUUUCCAACUGUUCUCUGGGUGUGGGAAAUGGGGAUUGGUUUGCAUGAUUCGCCUGCCAGCAGGUGGCGGUGAGUUGUGUGCUGAUGCAGUUGACUGAAGGGGAAGAAGAAAAUGCAGCCUAUCUGCUAAUUCCAAAAAAUGGCAGCUGUUCACUUGUUGAGAAGCCUCCAGUUUUUUUGCUGUGAAGGCAAUAAAUUAACGUUUUCCACACACCACCUGAGGCGUCCGUCAUGAGUGGUGUAGGGAACGCGCCAGAAACCAUGUGUUCGCCUUUGGGUGGCUUUCUAGUUGAUUGCCAUGAACCUUGAAUGUGCAGCUAGGUAGCCAGCUCGCUACCGUGGCCUCGUGGCGAUAACAUAAAUUUUAUAAAGAUUCGUUGAGAAACAAAAAAGUCAUGACAUUUUGAAGAUCCUGGGAAGGUCAGAACUUAUUGUUCUUUGCUAUUGUUUUACCAAUACCAUAAUUAGCCCAUAUUCUGAAUCUUUAAAUGGUCAUAACGUUGGUUGUUUGAGUUAUUGAGAUCAUUUAAGUACGUUUUUAAGGAGUUUUUAAAGCUCUUCCCAAUGAUAGUUUUUUUUAAUUCCAUCCAUUCUUUUUCUUAACCACUUAUCCUCACAAGGGUCACAGGAGUGCUGGAGCCUAUCCCAGCUGUCAACGAGCUGGAGGCAGGGUACACCCUGAACUAGAACAGCUUACAGAAGUGGUUAUGGUACCCACCCAACUUCCUUGGGGCAGAAUAAGACGGAUAUCGUAAAAGUGACCAGUAAGUUAUUUUUCCCCAUAGUGCAUGGUGAAAUCAUAAUUGGCAUGACAUUUUAUUCUUUCACCGCAUGCAUAUGUCAUUCAUUGAUGUAGUAUUUUUUAUAUAAAUGUCCCAAAGAGUCCAGGAAUUCAAUGAAUUGAUGUCAUGACUACAGUAUCUCUAUCAACUUAAACAACUAAUAAUAAUAACUUUAUUUUCUUUACAGCUCUAAAAACCUCCUAAAGUGCGAUGUCAGUCCUGUAAUUCCCCUGCAAGACCAUCAAAGUAAAUGCAUGUUCUGUUUCAAGCACUUUAUAAGAACAAGUCUGGCCCAAAGAGCACAAUAAAAAACUUGAUUACUGUGAUAUUCUGUUUUAUUCAUACUGUAUUAAGCAGUGGAACAGGUGGUUCACUAUCACCAUGAAGAACCCUAAGACAUUCAAAAUAAAGACAUCGACCAUCAACCUCGAGCCAUCCACCACAAAACAUGAGCUUUUCCCAUUCCCACAAAGAGAGUUGGCCCAUGUAAGAAGCAAGGUUCCAAAAAAAGGGCUCAUGCUGCUUACUGAGAUAAGGGACAUGGGCAGGCAUCAAGACCAUAGGGCAGCACAAGAAGAGGACAUCGACAUUGUACAGAUAAAAUAUCUGGUCGACUUCAUUGUCCUUGAACAGAAGGUGACAGAAAACCCUUUGUUUCUGCAGAACUGGUAUGAUUAAGUACAGAAAAAGUUGAGUUCAAUUUUAACAACAAACUAAUUCCUAAUUUUGCCAUCCUCUUUUUGAUUUGCAGAAAUUCCAAAUGUUGAAAGUUGGAUUGGUAACCUUUCAGGAAAAUAUGAAACGGAUCCGGAAAAGGUAAUUGAAUAUUGUACAGAAUGUAUUUUUUUAAACCAGUAAUAUACAGUUGAGAAUAAGGUGAAGAUUUUGUACUUCUUUUAACUUUCAAAUGAUACUGCAUUUAUGAAUACAAUUGAAACCAUUUUUUGUGCUGUUUGCAGACUUCUGAACAAUGAGGUCCUUCAAAUGGUCUUUCUAUAAACAAAAUAUGGAUUCUUGUGUUUGAUAGAUUACUAAUUGAUAGUUAUAGUGUUUGCCAGAUGUAAUCAUAAUCAAGUCUCAAUUUUGAACUCAAAAUGUGUCUUGAGAAACUACGAGGGGAGAACAGUUCUAUAGAGCUUGGGUCAUAAAGUUCUAUAGAUUUUCUGUGUUUGUUUCUAUAGAAAUUAUUUAGAAAUGUUCCUCAGAAAUAUUUUAGUAGAGGUCACAAAGCAUACAAGUGAGGGAGAUGUGGGUCGACUUUCAUAGGUCAGGCAGAGGCUACAAGAAGAUUGUCACUCAACUGCACCUGCCCAUAUCCACUGUGAGAGGAAUAAUUAAGAAGUUCAAAACAACUGGAACAGUGGUAAACAAGCCUGGACGAGGACCAAAGUUUAUUUUGCCACCACUCACAGUGAGGAGGAUGGUAGGAGAAAUCAAAAGAUCUCCAAACCUCACUGUUACAGAAAUACAAAAAAUGGUAGCAUCCCGGGGUCACAAAGACUCCAAAUCAACCAUCAGGCGCUGUCUACACGCCAACAAGCUGUUUGGGAGGCAUGCACGGAGAAAACCUUUCCUCACUCACAAUCAGAAACGCAAACGUCUGGAGUUCGCCAAGCGGUAUUGGGGCUUCAACUGGGACCAUGUGCUUUGGUCAGAUGAGACCAAGAUUGAGCUUUUUGACAACAAACAUUCUAAGUGGGUCUGGCGUGCCACGAAAGAUGCUCAUGUUGAAAACCACCUCAUACCCACCGUGAAGUAUGGGGGUGGGUUAGUGAUGCUGUGGGGCUAUUUUGCUUCCAAAGGCCCUGGGAAGCUUGUUAGGGUGCAUGGCAUCAUGAAUGCUUUGAAAUACCAGGACAUUUUAAAUCAAAAUCUGUUGCCCUCUGCACGAAAGGGGAAGAUGGGUCGUCACUGGGUUUUUCAGCAAGACAAUGACCCUAAACAUAUGGCCAAAUCUACAAAGAAAUGGUUCACCAGACACAAAAUCAAGCUCCUCCAAUGGCCAUCUCAGUCCCCAGACCUCAACCCCAUUGAAAACCUGUGGGGUGAGCUGAAGAGGAGAGUACAGAGGAGAGGACCCAGGUCUCUGGAUGAUUUAGAGAGAUUCUGCAAAGAGGAAUGACUGAAGAUCCCUCUUUCUGUCUUUUCCCAUCUUGUGAAACAUUAUAGGAGAAGAUUUGGUGCUGUUUUGUUGGCAAAAGGGGGUUGUACAAAGUAUUAAGACCUGGGGUGCUAAUAAUUGUGACACACAUUAUUUGAAAUAAUUAUUCGUAAUUAUUUCUUUAUGUGGGAUUUUUUCCCCACUUAAUAAAUGCAAUUGUAUUGAAUGUUGGAUUUUCUCUUUUUUUCCAUUCAGGUCCCAAAUUAUUUAGAAAAAAAAUUAUUAGAAGCUAAAAAACACAUCUUAACCAGAGGUGCCAAUAAUCAUGGAGGGCACUGUAAUUAGAGGGCCAGUCAAAGUUGGAUGUUUUGAAUACAAGGAUAAAGGGAGCAGACUUGGAUGGUUUGGACAUGUUCAGAGACGAGAGAGUGAGUAUAUUGGUAGAAGAGUGCUGAAGAUGGAGCUGCCAGGCAAAACAGCGAGAGGAACACCAAAGAAAUGGUUGAUGGAUGUUGUGAGGGAGGACAUGAGGACAGCGGGUCUAGAUUCUGGCAA